GAGGGUAUAGCUCAGUGGUAGAGGGUGGUGCUUAGCAUGCACGAGGUCCUAGGAUCAAACCCCAGUACCCCUA
rnacentral:tRNA from 1 species